UCCAAAGCAGUCUGAAUCCCUGUCCUGCAUUGACGAUGAACAUGCGGCACAAAGUCUGCAGUUGGGGAAAGAAUCACACCUCAUGAUCACUUGAAAUGCCAUCAGUACAUUUUGUUGAAUUGUUUCAUUCCCUGUCAUCAAAAGCCAUUCCAUACACAUUCUGAUUCGUGAACAUCACCGGAGGAGGAUAGGAUCUGAGAAGGGAAAACAAGGCAUCUGAUGCAUACCACUCCUUGCACAUCAAUGAUGGUCGUGCUCUGGUCGAUGUGCCGUUUUGCUGCAAUCGAACAGGCAGGAAACUUGACGACGAAGGUCCUCUCAAACUCCUUCACAUGGCCGGCCUUCCUUAUCGACUCCAUGGUGGCCUUGCGGGUAGUAUUCCAAGACUUCCCCGAGUUCCUUGAAUUCAAAAUCCUAGU